rnacentral:misc_RNA from 1 species
CCAUGUUCGUCAUCUGUAAUGGCUUAUGAGAUCAACUGCUUCUCUGUGCAUCGUCUUCUCCAAUUAGGCACUCCCUCAUGGCUCCUAGCAAGCUCAAUUCCACUCUGUGGAAAUGGAAAUGUGAGUUUUUGCUGCUCACAGCCAGAUAAUGGAUUUAACGAUCCACUUUCUCUCUUCCAUUCUGAGAAGGCGGUGCAGGAGCUUCUUCAACAGACUCCAGUCCAGGGAACUGAUGACCAACACGUAGAGUUCUCAGAGGCACUAAGAACUGUUGCAAAGGCAUUAAGACGAGCUGCUGAAGGAAAAGCUUCUGCUCAAGCUGAGGCUGCUGAAUGGAAGCGAAGAUAUGAACUGGAGAGGGAACGAAAUCAGCGACUGCAGCUUAAAGAACAUUCACCUGAGGAGCAUAAUGAU